rnacentral:lncRNA from 1 species
AUAUUCUUGUAUAUAAUCCUACAUAUAUACAAAUAUAUAUCAUGUUAUCUAGUUAGACACAAGCAAGUUCUGACACUAAUUGAUGGAAAACAGGUAUGAACAACUGAUGCAAAUAGCCAUGAUCACUUGCAUGUAAAAUAGACAACACAUAAUCACAGAUUUUAAUCAAACAUAAAAUCGAUACAUAUCUCUUAAAGCGUGACUGCGAUCGCGAGAAGCCUCCAAGCAAGAACGAAACUAUCCACGAGAUCAUCCUCCAGUUCUACAGUCUUCUACUGUGUGACC